GGAUGUUAAGUCACUCCGUCGGGUCUUCCCUAGAUGAUCCAUGUCUGUGUAGUGUCAUACGACCUGGUGGUCACCUACCCUAUAAGCCCAAGAAUGACCACUAUCUAGAGGGACUCUUUCUGACCGAGGACUCACAGGAAACUCACAAAUUCUUCAAUUGCCAAGCUAUUUGUGAUGAACCAGGUUAUCUUGGUGUAUAGGCAUAUGGGAUUCUCAAUCUGGUGUUACUCCAUUACUAGAAAUACAGAAUGACCAGUUCAAUUCAUCCUCCAACGACAAUGAUGGCAGUUUCCACUGCAUUGCUGCAUCAGCUAGACUUAACUUCGCUGGUGGUUCGCCCCUUGCUGCAUGCUGGAAACCCGCUGGUGACAGUCCCGCGGAUGAUGAUGAAUGGGUUUCGGUGCGUCUUGCCAGAAAUGUACUCGUUUCUGGAAUCACCACGCAGGGUCGUGGGAACGACGGAUCAGGCAGAGCUCAGUGGGUCACUGAAUACAAGGUUGAGUACAGUACAUCCGAGAACAUCGACCACUAUGUUGAGCUGAAGUCCAUUGGCGGAUUAUCUAAGUUUAUCGGCAACAUCGAUAUGAACAGUUCUGUGAUAAAUGUAUUCCAGCACCAAGUCAUCGCAAGUAGCAUUCGAAUCUUACCAACCACCUGGCAAGAUAAAAUCGCUCUUCGUUUCGAACUUCAUGGUUGCUUGCUGGAGUAAAUGAAUUCUGAAUCACCACUGUCCUACAACUAAACGAUAGCAUCGUUUCAAGAUUAUAGGUCCGAUUUUGACCAAAUUUACCAAACAAUUUCGAGUUUAAAUUAAAGCUAUCAUUUAAAUCCCAAAAAUGAAAUUGGUAGUUACUUAAAAAACAAAAACAUGCUACUGCGAUCCAAAAUAAAUACAAUGUGAAAUAAUGGCAUUUUUAGUCUGUAUAGUCACCACUUGAUGUUAUAGAUUGAGAUGAGCUUCUUACAGAACAUAAUCUUAAUAAUUAGAUCUUUGACCACUGGCUGCAACGACAACGCUGAAGAAAACGAGUGUUCAUUGAAGUUCAGGACACAGCCACUCCCAAAACUAUUCCAUCGAACUUGUAACCUUCUCGGACUGGGCAAUUAGCAAAUAAUCUGUAUGUAAAUAAUAUGUUUAUGAGAAGAGUUUAUUUCCUGAUUCCAAACCUUCAAAUUUAAUUCAUUCGCUCAUAAGUUUGUAUGACGAUUUUGACAAAAAAUCUACCAUCUAUAUCUUGACCUCUACUAUAUGGCGUGCACAAUAUGAUUCAUCCGCAGAUUUGCACAUAGCUAUAAUAUGAAGAUGAACGAAUUAACAUUAUAUUAUGAAGAUUGUCAUGAUGGAAAAUUUUCAAUGAAAAAUUUUGCUUGAACACAGUAUCAAAGUUUUAAAAUGUAGAACAACAAGUCCACAACCACAUGGUUGCAAGUGAAAUGUGUUUCCAGUAAUUUUGUGUGACAUAAAUUUAAGCUUUUAUAGCUUUGAGCUUUCAGGUUCUAUUAAGAUUGUUAUUUUUAAGUCACAAUGCGGAUACAGAUCGUUCACAGCUUUGCGCACGUACUAUACGCACGCAAGCAAAACAAUAAAUGUUUUCGUGUAUUAAAGCCAUUACACUUUCGGUACAGAAAAAGAAAGA